rnacentral:rRNA from 1 species
AACGAACGCUGGCGGCAUGCCUAACACAUGCAAGUCGAACGAAACCUUCGGGUCUAGUGGCGCACGGGUUCGUAACGCGUGGGAACCUGCCCUUAGGUUCGGAAUAACUCCCCGAAAGGGGUGCUAAUACCGGAUAAUGUCUUCGGACCAAAGAUUUAUCGCCUUUGGAUGGGCCCGCGUUGGAUUAGCUAGUUGGUAGGGUAAAAGACUACCAAGGCGACGAUCCAUAGCUGGUCUGAGAGGAUGAUCAGCCACACUGGGACUGAGACACGGCCCAGACUCCUACGGGAGGCAGCAGUGGGGAACAUUGGACAAUGGGCGAAAGCCUGAUCCAGCAAUGCCGCGUGAGUGAUGAAGGCCUUAGGGUUGUAAAGCUCUUUUACCCGGGAUGAUAAUGACAGUACCGGGAGAAUAAGCUCCGGCUAACUCCGUG